UACGUAGGCAGCAAGCGUUGUUCGGAGUUACUGGGCGUAAAGGGUGCGUAGGCGGCUCUAUAAGUUUGGUGUGAAAUCUCCCGGCUUAACUGGGAGGGUGCGCUAUAGACUGUGGGGCUAGAGUGCGGGAGAGGAAAGUGGAAUUCCUGGUGUAGCGGUGAAAUGCGUAGAUAUCAGGAGGAACACCGGUGGUGUAAACGGCUUUCUGGACCGUAACUGACGCUGAUGCACGAAAGCGUGGGUAGCAAACAGG
rnacentral:rRNA from 1 species